AUUACUGGGCGUAAAGCGCACGCAGGCGGUCUGUCAAGUCGGAUGUGAAAUCCCCGGGCUCAACCUGGGAACUGCAUUCGAAACUGGCAGGCUAGAGUCUUGUAGAGGGGGGUAGAAUUCCAGGUGUAGCGGUGAAAUGCGUAGAGAUCUGGAGGAAUACCGGUGGCGAAGGCGGCCCCCUGGACAAAGACUGACGCUCAGGUGCGAAAGCGUGGGGAGCAAACAGGAUUAGAUACCCUGGUAGUCAAGGGCGAAUUCGC
rnacentral:rRNA from 1 species